AGCGAACGCUGGCGGCAGGCCUAACACAUGCAAGUCGAACGAACCUUUCGGGGUUAGUGGCGGACGGGUGAGUAACACGUGGGAACGUGCCUUUAGGUUUGGAAUAACUCAGGGAAACUUGUGCUAAUACCGAAUGUGCUCUUCGGGGGGAAGAUUGAUCGCCUUUAGAGCGGCCCGCGUCUGAUGAGCUAGUUGGUUGAGGUAAUGGCUCACCAAGGCGACGAUCAGUAGCUGGUCUGAGAGGAUGAUCAGCCACAUUGGGACUGAGACGCAGCCCAAACUCCUGCGGGAGGCAGCAGUGGGGAAUCUUGCGCAAUGGGCGAAAGCCUGACGCUGCCAUGCCGCGUGAAUGAUGAAGGUCUUAGGAUUGUAAAAUUCUUUCACCGGGGACGAUAAUGACGGUACCCGGAGAAGAAGCCCCGGCUAACUUCGUG
rnacentral:rRNA from 1 species